GCCCCGCACCAAGCGGCGGGAGCAAUGCGGAUUAAUUCGAUGCAACGCGGAAGACCCUUACCCAAGGUUUGACAAUAUACCGGAAACGGCCAGAAAUGUUCGCCCCGCAAGGUCGGUAUACAGGUGGUGCAUGGUUGUCGUCAGCUCGUGUCGUGAGAUGUUGGGUUAAGUCCCGCAACGAGCGCAACCCUCGUCCUAUGUUGCCAGCACGUAAUGGUGGGAACUCAUGGGAUACUGCCGGGGUCAACUCGGAGGAAGGUGGGGAUGACGUCAAAUCAUCAUGCCCCUUAUGUCUUGGGCUUCACGCAUGCUACAAUGGCCGGUACAAAGGGCUGCAAUACCGCAAGGUGGAGCGAAUCCCGAAAAGCCGUUCUCAGUUCGGAUCGGAGUCUGCAACUCGACUCCGUGAAGCUGGAAUCACUAGUAAUCGCGCAUCAGCAAUGGCGCGGUGAAUACGUUCCCGGGCCUUGUACACACCGCCCGUCAAGCCAUGGAAGUUUGGUAGACCUGAAGCUGGUGCUUGUCACAGAAGCCAGUUAGGGUAGAACAGGUAACUAGGGCUAAGUCGUAACAAGGUA
rnacentral:rRNA from 1 species